rnacentral:rRNA from 1 species
AUUGAACGCUGGCGGCAGGCCUAACACAUGCAAGUCGAGCGAGCGGCGGACGGGUGAGGAAUGUAUGGGGACUGCCCGAUAGAGGGGGAUAACUACUGGAAACGGUAGCUAAUACCGCAUACUAUCGGAUAAUCCAUAUGGGAUUAGCUAGUAGGGGAGGUAAUGGCUCACCUAGGCGACGAUCCCUAGCUGGUGUGAGAGGACGACCAGCCCAACUUGGGCUGAGACACGGCCCCGACUCCUACGGAGGCAGCCGUGGGGAAUUUUUGAGAAUUGGGGAAACCCUUAUCCCGCCAUCCCGCGUGUAUGAAGAAGGCCUUCGGGUUGUAAAGUACUUUUGGCAGAGAAGCGGUAUCUGCAGAAUAAGCACCGGCUAACUACGUGCCAGCAGCCGCGGUAAUUC